UCGAGGGGUAUAGUUCUUCGGAAUUAGAGACCGGCGCACGGGUGCGUAACGCGUAUGCAAUCUACCUUUUACAGAGGGAUAGCCCAGAGAAAUUUGGAUUAAUACCUCAUAGUAUAGAUCAACCGCAUGGUUGGCCUAUUAAAGUCACAACGGUAAAAGAUGAGCAUGCGUCCCAUUAGCUAGUUGGUAAGGUAACGGCUUACCAAGGCGACGAUGGGUAGGGGUCCUGAGAGGGAGAUCCCCCACACUGGUACUGAGACACGGACCAGACUCCUACGGGAGGCAGCAGUGAGGAAUAUUGGACAAUGGGCGCAAGCCUGAUCCAGCCGUGCCGCGUGCAGGAUGACGGUCCUAUGGAUUGUAAACUGCUUUUGCACAGGAAGAAACAACUCUACGUGUAGAGUCUUGACGGUACUGUGAGAAUAAGGAUCGGCUAACUCCGUGCCAGCAGCCGCGGUAAUACGGAGGAUCCAAGCGUUAUCCGGAAUCAUUGGGUUUAAAGGGUCCGUAGGCGGUUUAGUAAGUCAGUGGUGAAAGCCCAUCGCUCAACGGUGGAACGGCCAUUGAUACUGCUAGACUUGAAUUAUUAGGAAGUAACUAGAAUAUGUAGUGUAGC
rnacentral:rRNA from 1 species